AUGGGAGACUUGAACGAAAUCUUGUACUCCUUUGAGAAGGAAGGGGGCAAUCCAAGGCCCCAACGUUUCCUGAAAAUGUUUCGUGAUGCAUUAUAUGCUUGUAAUCUCGAGGAUUUUGGUUUUAUUGGUGACAAGUUUACUUGGAAAAGAGGUAAGAUUAGGGAGAGGCUGGAUAGGACCUUGACGAAUGAGACAUGGAACAAUAAGUUCGCUGAUGCAAUAUUGACAAACCUUGAAUAUAACAAGUCUGACCAUCUUCCUAUACUC
rnacentral:rRNA from 1 species